rnacentral:sRNA from 1 species
UGUCGGGAACUCCAGGGAGACUGCCGGUGAUAAACCGGAGGAAGGUGGGGACGACGUCAAGUCAUCAUGGCCCUUACGAGUAGGGCUACACACGUGCUACAAUGGCGCAUACAGAGGGCGGCCAACUUGCGAAAGUGAGCGAAUCCCAAAAAGUGCGUCGUAGUCCGGAUUGGAGUCUGCAACUCGACUCCAUGAAGUCGGAAUCGCUAGUAAUCGUGGAUCAGAAUGCCACGGUGAAUACGUUCCCGGGCCUUGUACACACCGCCCGUCACACCAUGGGAGUGGGCUGCAAAAGAAGUAGGUAGUUUAACCUUCGGGGGGACGCUUACCACUUUGUGGCUCAUGACUGGGGUGAAGUCGUAACAAGGUAGCGCUAGGGGAACCUGGCGCUGGAUCACCUCCUUAUACG